GUUGAACGCUGGCGGCAUGCCUAAUACAUGCAAGUCGAGCGAAGCGGGGACGGGUGAGUAACACGUGGGUACCCUCCUCUAAGACUGGGAUAACUUCGGGAAACCGUAGCUAAACCGGAUCCUUAUAGAUGGAUCCGCGCUGCAUUAGCUGGUUGGUAAGGUAACGGCUUACCAAGGCAACGAUGCCUAGCCGGCCUGAGAGGGUGACCGGCCACACUGGAACUGAGACACGGCCCAGACUCCUACGGGAGGCAGCAGUAGGGAAUCUUCCGCAAUGGGGGAAAGCCUGAUGGAGCAACGCCGCGUGAGUGAUGAAGGCCUUCGGAUAGUAAAGCUCUGUGAUUAGGGAAGCGGUACCUACACAGAAAGCCACGGCUAACUACGUGCCAGCAGCCGCGGUAAUAC
rnacentral:rRNA from 1 species